ACCUAGAAUCAUACUACUUUGAAUGAGCCCAAUCUUGUCUCUCAUCCUGGAAGCUAAGCAGGGUUGUGUCUGGUCAGUACUUGGAUGACAGAUCACCUGGGAAUAGUGAAUGCUGUAGGCU
rnacentral:rRNA from 1 species